rnacentral:rRNA from 1 species
UACGUAGGGUGCAAGCGUUAAUCGGAAUUACUGGGCGUAAAGCGUGCGCAGGCGGUUAUAUAAGACAGAUGUGAAAUCCCCGGGCUCAACCUGGGACCUGCAUUUGUGACUGUAUAGCUAGAGUACGGCAGAGGGGGAUGGAAUUCCGCGUGUAGCAGUGAAAUGCGUAGAUAUGCGGAGGAACACCGAUGGCGAAGGCAAUCCCCUGGACCUGUACUGACGCUCAUGCACGAAAGCGCGGGGAGCAAACAGG